CCCUUUUUCUCUCAAAAUUUUGUGCUCUCUCUCUCUCUCUCUCUAAGGAAAGGAAAAGCCUCCAUUUUGAAGAAACAAGUCACAAAAGAGAUAAAGUUCAUGAAAUUUUCUUUUCGUCUCUCUUGUGCCGAACCAAGGGCUCUCUUUUUCCCUAUUUGUUUAUGAGUUUCCACUCUUAAAAAUACUAUUUGAUUUUUGAUAUAGAACCUAGGAGUGUUGCAUGAAAGAUCCAAGAGCUUCUAUGUCAUAUUUGGAGCUUUGAACAUUAACAAGAGGUAUUGGGGAGAGGUUAGAAGUUGGGAAAUAUUUGGGAAGCUUAGAGCCCAACCCUAGAAGCCAAACUCAAAGCUUGAAUACAAAGGAACUAAAAUGCAUUUGGGCAUAAAUAAAAAGAAAGAAUUAAAUAUGAAAAAGAAAUGGGAAAAAUGGCAUUUUUGAAGUCCAAAGCCCAAGAGAAAUUUCCCAAGCCCGAAUUCGGCCCGACAUCUCCCUCCUUUCUCUCUCUUGCCGUCCCUGCCACCUGGUGCGACUGUAGUGCGCCACGCGUCUCACCUACCUACCCUAGCCGCUUGCCAUGUGUCCCCCCAGCCCAGACCAACCCACCUGCGACUCGCGUGCCCGACCCAGUCUGCUCGCCUAACCCGCCUGCAUGGCACCUUCUCCCUCAACUCCCACGUGCCAAAUGGCACUUUGCAAUUGGUUACACACUUGCCAGACGUCCCUGCCACAUGCUAGCCUGACGAACCAGCUACUGCAGCUACUUUUGUGUGCACUUCGGUCUUCAUGCGAGCCAUUUUCAACACUCCAAGUCGUGUGAGCCACAUGCAUGCAUUAGUCUACAACAUAAUAGUAAUGAUAACAAUAAAAAUAAUAUUAAUAAUAAUAAUAAUAAUUUUUAUUUCUAAGUCAAUUUUUAUUAAUAUUUUAGUAUUCUUUUGUAAACCCUAAUUUUAGUUUAAAUUGUGUAACGACCCAAAUUUACUAAUAAGGCUUAAGGGCCUUGAUAAGUGUGCUGGGAGGGCAUAAUUAGAAUAUAUGUGAUUUAAUGAUUAAAAGUAUGCUAUAUGACUAUUUGAAUAUCUGAGAUGCAUGACUAUGUGUAUUAGUAUGCAUGUAGGCCCUGAUUAGGUUAGAAAUGACAUAAUUGUAAUUUUGGCACG